rnacentral:tRNA from 1 species
AGCAGAGUGGCCUAGUGGAAAGAGCACUGGCUUCAGAGUCAGGAGAUCUGGGUUCUAAUCCCAGCUCUGCCA